ACAGGUGCUGCAUGGCUGUCGUCAGCUCGUGUUGUGAAAUGUUGGGUUAAGUCCCGCAACGAGCGCAACCCUUAUCCUUUGUUGCCAGCGGUCCGGCCGGGAACUCAAAGGAGACUGCCAGUGAUAAACUGGAGGAAGGUGGGGAUGACGUCAAGUCAUCAUGGCCCUUACGACCAGGGCUACACACGUGCUACAAUGGCGCAUACAAAGAGAAGCGACCUCGCGAGAGCAAGCGGACCUCAUAAAGUGCGUCGUAGUCCGGAUUGGAGUCUGCAACUCGACUCCAUGAAGUCGGAAUCGCUAGUAAUCGUGGAUCAGAAUGCCACGGUGAAUACGUUCCCGGGCCUUGUACACACCGCCCGUCACACCAUGGGAGUG
rnacentral:rRNA from 1 species